AUGGCGCAGAGGGCCGCGGGCGGCCUUCUCCGACGGUCCAUCGGGCUCGCGCCGCCGACAACCGCGAGGGCCCUGAGCACCAGCGCCACCACGCCGGCCGCGGCGGCAGAGGGAGAGGCGGCGGCCAAGGCGAGGAGGAACAAGAAGAAGAACCUGUUCGACGUGGCGCAGUUCCUGCCGGACUGGGGCGUCGGCUACAGGGUUGCCAAGACCACCUGGCGCGACGUCUCCUACCAGAUCACCAAGAUCAACCUCUACAAGGAUGGCCGCCACGGGAAGGCGUGGGGGAUUCGGCACAAGGCCGGCGUGCAAGCAGCCGAUGCUCCGAUAAGAAUCAGCGGGGUUAACAAACGUGGUUGGAAGUACAUAAAGGCGUCGUUGCAAGAUAUCCCUGGAGCAGAGCCGCCAGCCGUCACCGCUGCUUAG
rnacentral:rRNA from 1 species